rnacentral:rRNA from 1 species
GAUGAACGCUGGCGGCGUGCCUAAUACAUGCAAGUCGAGCGAACAGACGAGGAGCUUGCUCCUCUGACGUUAGCGGCGGACGGGUGAGUAACACGUGGAUAACCUACCUAUUAGACGGGGAUAACUUCGGGAAACCGGAGCUAAUACCGGAUAAUAUAUGGAGCCACAUGGUUCAAUAGUGAAAGAGGGUUUUGCUGUCACUUAAAGAUGGAUCCGCGCCGCAUUAGCUAGUUGUUAAGGUAACGGCUUACCAAGGCAACGAAGCGUAGCCGACCUGGAGGGGGGAUCGCCAACACGGGAACUGAGCCACGGUCCAGACUCCUACGGGAGGCAGCAGUAGGGAAUCUUCCGCAAUGGGCGAAAGCUUGACGGAGCAACGCGGGGUGAGUGAUGAAGGUCUUCGGAUCGUAAACCUCUGUUAUUAGGGAAGAACAAAUGUGUAAGUAACUAUGCACGUUUUGACGGUACCUAAUCAGAAAGCCACGGCUAACUACGUG